AGAGAGAGAGAAAGAGAGAGAGAGAGAGAGGGGAAAGAGAGAAUUCUAUCUUCAUUUUUCUAGAAUCAUCUUCCAGCCAGGUGAAAUCUCUACCCACUGCAAAUGUGUACGUUCACUUUUGACAUGGCAAAAAAAAAAAAAAGCUGUGAUUUAAUUGGUUCCAUUCAGUUCAUCAACUAGGCAAAGAUUUUAUUGAUCUUACAGUAAUGUGGUUUAUAUAUAUAUAUAU